rnacentral:rRNA from 1 species
UACAGAGGGUGCUAGCGUUGUUCGGAUUCAUUGGGCGUAAAGGGUGCGUAGGUGGCGCGCUAAGUCAGGUGUGAAAUUUCGGAGCUUAACUCCGAAACUGCAUUUGAUACUGGCGUGCUUGAGGACUGGAGAGGAGACUGGAAUUCAUGGUGUAGCAGUGAAAUGCGUAGAGAUCAUGAGGAAGACCAGUGGCGAAGGCGGGUCUCUGGACAGUUCCUGACACUGAGGCACGAAGGCCAGGGGAGCAAACGGG